rnacentral:rRNA from 1 species
UACGGGAGGCAGCAGUGGGGAAUAUUGCACAAUGGGCGCAAGCCUGAUGCAGCCAUGCCGCGUGUAUGAAGAAGGGCCUUCGGGUUGUAAAGUACUUUCAGUACGUGAGGAAGGUGUUAAGGUUAAUAACCUUAGCAAUUGACGUUAGCGACAGAAGAAGCACCGGCUAACUCCGUGCCAGCAGCCGCGGUAAUACGGAGGGUGCGAGCGUUAAUCGGAAUUACUGGGCGUAAAGGGCACGCAGGCGGUUAAUUAAGUUGGAUGUGAAAUCCCCGGGCUUAACCUGGGAAUGGCAUUCAAGACUGGUUAGCUAGAGUCUUGUAGAGGGGGUAGAAUUCCAUGUGUAGCGGUGAAAUGCGUAGAGAUGUGGAGGAAUACCGGUGGCGAAAGGCGGCCCCUGGGACAAAGGACUGACGCUCGAUGUGCGAAAAGCGUGGGGAGCGAAACAGGGAUUAGAUACC